GGAAAAAUAAAAAGGUCUCUCCCACAAUCCCACGUUUCCCCCAUUCUUUUCUUCCUAGGCUUGAAUUGCAAGCGUCUGAGAAAAGAAACCAACCUCCUCCUCCUGCAACUCGAAGGAUUCUUUGCGGCAGCAACAAAUAACAACCUCAGAUGCUGCAUUUUGUAUUAAUCAAGGAUCGUAUGGUUGCUCAUGAAUCCAUUGUGAAACAGGUUAUUAAUUCAAAGUGUCGGUCUCAUUUCUUAUACCUUUUUGAGCCAUACAGGUCAUGACAGAAUAGUAAUUCCUAUGAUUGAUAAUAUUUCUGUGGAUGUCACUGUGGACUUUCUUGCAUGGAUAUAGGUGGAUAUUGAAUUCAACACAUCAAUUUGAAAAUUUAGAAGAAGGCUAUCACAUUCUACGGAGGAGCAAUUUUCGCAUAAUCUUUCAAUGCUCCUGUUGUGAUCUCCUUGUAAAAGCGAAAACUAAAUUGAUUGAGAAAUCCGAUGCGGAGGUUUGUGGAUGAUGCUACAAAUCUGUCAUUUCUUCUCACUAUGCUUCUUCUAGUACAAACUUCAAAUUUGUCAAAAUUUGGAGAUACUUGCCAGACACUAUUGAUGUUGUGGGUGGGAGUCAGCAGAGGUCCUCGGGAUGCAAGUUUUAGAGAACUUGUUCACCGUCUGAUUAUCUGUUGGUUGAGUUUGUUAAUUCACGAUGAAGAAGAUGAAUUUAUAAGAGAACACUUUCAAGCCCUCUGCUGUAACAUAUAUAUCCUAAAUCAUAUAUCAAUGUAUAACUGAUCCGCUUUGCUAAGCCGGAAAAGAAAACAAGGCAAGGAUAUAGUCAUCUGUCUAAGUAUACUCACUGAUGGGAUAGUUCAUCAUUAAGUUAUAUUGAUAGUCAGGUUAUUGUUAUGAAAUAAUGGUGUGAACUGCACUGAUAUGGUGUGAUUGUUGUAAAUUAUAGUGCACAAACCAAUCUUAAUUUUCACUGGUCUAAAUUUUGGCAACUUGUAAAAUUAAAGCAUAUUCACCUUUUUAAUUAACUUGUACACAAUUUAAUGCAAUUCAUGUGAAUGGAGAUUUAUAAAA